AGAGUUUGAUCCUGGCUCAGGAUGAAUGCUGGCGGCGUGCUUUAUAUAUGCAAGUCACGGGGGUGUAGCAAUACACAACCGGCGGACGGGUGAGUAAUAUAUGGGAAUUUUCCUCGAAGUGGGGUAUAGCUUUCCGAAAGGAAGGGUAAUCCCCCAUGUGAUCGCAAGAUUAAAGCCGCAAGGCGCUUCGAGAUAAGCCUGUAUCCUAUCGGCUUGUUGGUGAGGUAAUGGCUCACCAAGGCGACGACGGGUAGCUGGUCUGAGAGGAUGGUCAGCCACAAUGGAACUGAGACACGGUCCAUACAUCUACGGAUGGCGCAGUAGGGAAUCGUUGACAAUGGGCGAAAGCCUGAUCACGCGACGCCGCGUGGAGGAUUGAAGGCCUUAGGGUCGUAAACUCCUUUUAUGAGGGAAGAUUAUGACGGUACCUCAUGAAUAAGCACCUGCUAAUCACGUGCCAGAAGCCUCGGUAAGACGUGAGGUGCAAGCAUUAUCCGGAUUCACUGGGCGUAAAGUGUUGCGUAGGCUGAUUGUCGCAUUUUACUUAAAAUACCGUGGCUCAACCACGGUUUUGGGUAAAAUAUGGGCAAUCUAGUAGGAUGGAGAGGGUACUGGAACUGAUCAUGUAGCAGUGAAAUGCGUUGAUAUGAUUAGGAACACCAAAGGCGUAGGCAGGUACCUGGUCAUCUCUAGACGCUGAGGCACGAAAGCUUGGGGAGCGAAGCAGAUUAGAGACCUGCGUAGUCCAAGCCGUAAACGAUGGACGUUAGUUACUGGGAUUUAUCUCGGUGACGUAAGCUAACGCGUUAAACGUCCCGCCUGGGGAGUACGAACGCAAGUUUAAAACUCAAAGGAAUUGACGGGGAGGCGCACAAGCAGUGGAGCAUGUGGUUUAAUUCGAUACGAAGCGAAAAACCUCACCAGGGUUUGACAUGUACUUGCAAAUCCCGUGAAAGCGGGACUCCUUCGAGGGUAGUACACAGAUGUUGCAUGGCUGUCGUAAGUUCGUGGCGUGAGCUGUCCUCUUUAGUGAGCUAACGAACGAAACCCGCACCGUAUGUUAAAUAUUCAUGCGGAACUGCCCCCUUUUGGGGGAGGAAGGCGCGGAUGACGUCAGGUCCGCACGACUCUUACACCCUGGGCUACACACAUCCUACAGUGGCGAACAACAACGAGUUGCAAGCGGGUGACCGCAAGCUAAUCUCUGAAAUUUCGCCUCAGUUCAGAUCGGAGUCUGCAAUUCGACUCCGUGAAGCCGGAAUUGCUAGUAAUCGCGAAUCAGAAGGUCGCGGUGAAUACGUUCUCGCCUCUUGUACACACCGCCCGUCAAGGCAGCAAAGUUGGGGGUACCCGAAUGGCACUACAGGGUCAGAAGGUAAAACCAGCGAUGAAGCUUAAGUCGUAACAAGGUA
rnacentral:rRNA from 1 species